UUGCAAAUGAUGUUUUUUUCGGAUUCCCUUUCAAGACUUCAUGAGUGAUGUAAAAACAUAGUCUCUGAUGUU